AACGAACGCUGGCGGCAUGCCUAACACAUGCAAGUCGAACGAGACCUUCGGGUCUAGUGGCGCACGGGUGCGUAACGCGUGGGAACCUGCCCUUAGGUUCGGAAUAACUCCCCGAAAGGGGUGCUAAUACCGGAGAAUGUCUUCGGACCAAAGAUUUAUCGCCUUUGGAUGGGCCCGCGUUGGAUUAGCUAGUUGGUAGGGUAAAAGCCUACCAAGGCGACGAUCCAUAGCUGGUCUGAGAGGAUGAUCAGCCACACUGGGACUGAGACACGGCCCAGACUCCUACGGGAGGCAGCAGUGGGGAAUAUUGGACAAUGGGCGAAAGCCUGAUCCAGCAAUGCCGCGUGAGUGAUGAAGGCCUUAGGGUUGUAAAGCUCUUUUACCCGGGAUGAUAAUGACAGUACCGGGAGAAUAAGCUCCGGCUAACUCCGU
rnacentral:rRNA from 1 species